CUUCCAUUGUGAUGCAAUUUCCCUUCCAGCUGCCUCUGCAGUGCUCUGUCCCCACAGAGAAGCAGAUAAACACCUUCUGGCUCUUCACCAACAUCCGAGAGGAUCUGCUCCAGCUGACCCUGCUCCACAGAGAGACUGUCUGCACAUCCCUCUGUCCUCUGACGGAAUGAAGAGGGGGGUGGGUUAUGACAGGGAGUCAAGAAUCACAGCCAAUGUGGAAAGAGGCAGUGCUGCUGCUCCUCUUUGUCAGGCACGUAUGCCCAAAGCCCUCGGGUGUUGGCAUGAGCAUCCUGCACCAGGAUUUCCAAGUCAGUCAUCCCCAUGCCACCGAAAGCCCCUCUCGAAGCCUCCCAGCUUCAUGUCUUUCCAGAUCCAGCAAGUCCCACCAGGGGCCAAGGUGGAGGACACCCUUCCCUCUGAGACAAGAUUUCAGCCGUGUCGGACAUGCAGUAGUACCCCAGGCUCGCUCAGCCCCAACAUAGGCAAGAUCUGAGGUGCCUAGAUACGCAGCUUCUCCCUCCAGGGAACUCCUGGCUGCUUUGAUGUGGAACAGAGAUGACAAUGGCAGUACCUGGUGAGGAAGGAGCUUUAACACUGAUGUUUUAAAUGACAGCCAUUGUUCCCUGAUAAUUUUAUGAUCAAAGAAAAAGAAAGAGGCCUUUUAAGAAAGCGUGUAGCAUAUUUAAGAAGACCCAAAGGAUUGGAAAAGGGGCUCCAAAGACAAAAAACACAGAAUGAAGAGCGAAGUAACUCCAAAGAGAAGGCAGCUCAGUGCUGGUGUCUGCAACCUUGUUCCUUCCUCAAAGUACAGUUCAUCAAAAGCAACUUCUCAACAUAGCCAAGAGAGUCCUCAGAGUUUCACCCAAACGUCAGACAUCCAAGGCUGGGCCCAACAAACCUGGUGGUCCACUUCCCCACAACAGAGCAGACUGGUGGAAGCACAUCCUUCUCCCUCCGUCUGCCUCUCCUCUACCUCCUCCCUCACUUGGUACGUCUCCCCUCCUCAGCUAAAGAUGGGGAGAUGGAACUCAGCCAAGUAUGCCUGGUGUACUCUAUGCUGGGGUGCAGCUCAGGAGGAACCCAAACAGGCUUGGCCCCACACUGUCCUGCUGGGUCGACUACAUGCAAUCUCGUGA
rnacentral:lncRNA from 1 species